rnacentral:lncRNA from 1 species
UUUCAGGACAUGUUGAACUGGUAGCAGUGUGAGGCAUCAUCACAGAUGCCUAGGUUUUUCAGAAGAGGACUCUCAAGACCGAAGAGGACAGCUGAUUUAGGUCAGGCACAGAGGGAGCUGUGGGAAGCCUUCACCGAUGGUCCCCACGGGUCCGCUGCUGCAGCUAUUUCCAGGCCCGCAUGGACUGGGAGGGAAAUGCCUGGCUACCUUCAGAAUGAAGCACAGUUGAGCAUCUCACUAAGUCACGCUGCCCAGAAUGCUCAUCACUGGGAUGAGAUGAAGGUCUGUGACCCUUUGCCAGGGUGGGAGGAGACGCAGGUCCCUGCUGUGACCAUUAGACCACUUGGGAAUAAGUGUGUGGCUUUGGAGCUAAGAAAGAUCGAAAUAACUUGGACCCUUAAUACAGAGCCUGGCCCAGACACACGGCUGCUCCUUCUGUUAUGCACAUGUUCAGGCUGGUGA